rnacentral:rRNA from 1 species
AAUAAACGGCCGCGAAAGUGCUAAGGUAGCAUAAUAAUUUGUCUUUUUACUGGAGACUAGUAUGAAUGAUAUAACGAAGCUUAACUGUCUCUUUAUAUUAAAUUAAACUUUAUGUAAAAGUGAAAAAUCUUUUAUUUUAUUGAAGGACGAAAAGACCCUAUAGAGUUUUAGUAUUAUAAUACUUUUGUUGGGGCAACACAAGAAUAAAAAAAAAUCUUGAUUAAAGUUAUAACCUCAAAGAGUGAAAAAAAUAAACUACCUUAGGGAUAACAGCGUAAUCUAAUCUAAGAGACCUAAUCGAAGAAUAGGUUUGCGACCUCGAUGUUGGACUAAGGUUAAAUUUAAUAUGCAGAAGUAUAAAUAAUGAGCCUGUUCGGCUUUUAAAACCUUACGUGAUCUGAGUUCAGACCGGUAUCAACAAUAGGGUU